GACCCUGCUAGAGGAGAACAGAGCAGGCAGGGCCAAGAGGAGGAAAGACAAACCCAAGCUUGACUUCUCAGCGACUUCACACAGGGUGAAGGGCAUCACGUAAGAUGCUGGCUUUCAUGCUGCUUCUGCAGGGAGGAGGCUUUGUGUUUAGUGUUCUUGUCUCUCAGAAGCCAAUCAGAGCCAUUUGUCAGCAUGGAAGCUCCAUGAUGGUCCAGUGUCAGGCUGACAGCCCAGCCUCCGUGAUGUUCUGGUACCGUCAGCUCCCAGGACAAAGCUUGAUACUGAUUGCAGCUGCAAAUGAGGGCUCUGAGGCCACGUAUGAGAGUGGAUUCACCAAAGACAAGUUUCCCAUCAGUCGUCCCAACCUGACAUUUUCAACCCUCGUUGUGAACACCUUGAGACCUGAAGACAGCAGCUUCUACUUCUGCAGCUUUGAAGACACAGUGCUGGACACAGAUCAAAGAUCUGAGCAAGAACCCCAGCUCUCUCCUAUCUGGCUCCCACCCACAUGCAACUGAGGACCCUGCCAGAGUGGCACAGAGGGAGAAAACCACGGUUCCUGGGCAGAGACAGCUGUUGGGACUCUGUGGAUGGCAUGGGUAGGAAUGAGUGAGGGAAUCUGUAGGUCUUACCCAUCCAUGGACAGGAAGAGUGGCUCCUGGGAAACUAAUGAGUUUCUUCCAUGAGAGUGCCUGGAAAUAUUAAGUAGUGAUAACUAGACAUAUUUUGUCUUCAGUUAGCAAAAUUACAAAUACCCUUUAACUGUCUUAUCACAGGAUUGUAUUUAGCCAGUUUUCUAUCAUUUUACCUAUAUAAUAACCAUUCUCAUAAUGUA